rnacentral:rRNA from 1 species
UGAGGAAUAUUGGUCAAUGGGCGAGAGCCUGAACCAGCCAAGUCGCGUGAGGGAUGACGGCCCUACGGGUUGUAAACCUCUUUUGCCGGGGAGCAAUGCUCUGCACGAGUGCGGAGCGGGAGAGUACCCGGAGAAAAAGCAUCGGCUAACUCCGUGCCAGCAGCCGCGGUAAUACGGAGGAUGCGAGCGUUAUCCGGAUUUAUUGGGUUUAAAGGGUGCGUAGGCGGAACGCCAAGUCAGCGGUAAAAAUUCGGGGCUCAACCCCGUCGUGCCGUUGAAACUGGUGUCCUUGAGUGGGCGAGAAGUAUGCGGAAUGCGUGGUGUAGCGGUGAAAUGCAUAGAUAUCACGCAGAACUCCGAUUGCGAAGGCAGCAUACCGGCGCCCGACUGACGCUGAAGCACGAAAGCGUGGGUAUCGAACAGGAUUAGAUACC